rnacentral:rRNA from 1 species
GCUGGCGGCGUGCCUAACACAUGCAAGUCGAACGAGAAAGGGGAGCAAUCCCUGAGUACAGUGGCGACCGGGUGAGUAACACGUGACUACCUGCCCUUGAGUGGGGGAUAACCCCGGGAAACCGGGGCUAAUACCGCAUAACAUCGCAAGAUCAAAGGAGCAAUCCGCUUUUGGAGGGGGUCGCGGCUGAUUAGCUAGUUGGUAAGGUAACGGCUUACCAAGGCAAAGAUCGGUAUCCGGCCUGAGAGGGCGCACGGACACACUGGAACUGAAACACGGUCCAGACUCCUACGGGAGGCAGCAGUGGGGAAUUUUGCGCAAUGGGGGAAACCCUGACGCAGCAACGCCGCGUGGAGGAUGAAGCCCCUUGGGGUGUAAACUCCUUUCGACCGGGACGAUUAUGACGGUACCGGUGGAAGAAGCACCGGCUAACUCUGUGCCAGCAGCCGCGGUAAUACAGAGGGUGCGAGCGUUGUUCGGAAUUAUUGGGCGUAAAGGGCGCGUANGCGGUGCGGUAAGUCACCUGUGAAACCUCUGGGCUUAACUCA